UAAGGAAUAUUGGACAAUGGGCGAAAGCCUGAUCCAGCCAUGCCGCGUGAAGGAUUAAGGUCCUCUGGAUUGUAAACUUCUUUUAUUGGGGACGAAAAAAGGGCAUUCUUGCUCACUUGACGGUACCCAAUGAAUAAGCACCGGCUAACUCCGUGCCAGCAGCCGCGGUAAUACGGAGGGUGCAAGCGUUAUCCGGAUUCACUGGGUUUAAAGGGUGCGUAGGUGGGCAGGUAAGUCAGUGGUGAAAUCCUGGAGCUUAACUCCAGAACUGCCAUUGAUACUAUCUGUCUUGAAUAUUGUGGAGGUAAGCGGAAUAUGUCAUGUAGCGGUGAAAUGCUUAGAUAUGACAUAGAACACCUAUUGCGAAGGCAGCUUACUACGCAUAUAUUGACACUGAGGC
rnacentral:rRNA from 1 species